UUGAACGCUGGCGGCAGGCCUCACACAUGCAAGUCGCGCGGAUGAAGGGAGCUUGCUCCUGGAUUCAGCGGCGGACGGGUGAGUAAUGCCUAGGAAUCUGCCUGGUAGUGGGGGAUAACGUCCGGAAACGGGCGCUAAUACCGCAUACGUCCUGAGGGAGAAAGUGGGGGAUCUUCGGACCUCACGCUAUCAGAUGAGCCUAGGUCGGAUUAGCUAGUUGGUGGGGUAAAGGCCUACCAAGGCGACGAUCCGUAACUGGUCUGAGAGGAUGAUCAGUCACACUGGAACUGAGACACGGUCCAGACUCCUACGGGAGGCAGCAGUGGGGAAUAUUGGACAAUGGGCGAAAGCCUGAUCCAGCCAUGCCGCGUGUGUGAAGAAGGUCUUCGGAUUGUAAAGCACUUUAAGUUGGGAGGAAGGGCAGUAAGUUAAUACCUUGCUGUUUUGACGUUACCAACAGAAUAAGCACCGGCUAACUUCGU
rnacentral:rRNA from 1 species